CUCUUUUGUAAUUUCCCCAUAUUUACAUGCUCACGUUGAUGAUUCAGCAUCAUUUAUUGAUAUAUCUGCCAGAUUCCGGCACAGUCUUUUUACCGUUUGAUGUUCACGUUCAGUUUGGAGUUAUACUUACCUGUCAACAUUUGUAAUCAUUCAUUGAGCACCAGCAUACCUUUGUUAUUCAUGCUACAUUGUGUUAAUAGAGUGGAUUAUAUGACAAUAAAUAAAACGGUUAUCUUUAA